GACAGAGGGUGCAAACGUUGUUCGGAAUUACUGGGCGUAAAGCGUGUGUAGGCGGUCUCGCAAGUCGGAUGUGAAAGCCCCGGGCUCAACCCGGGAAGUGCACUCGAUACUGCAAGACUCGAGUUUCGGAGAGGUUGGUGGAAUUCUCGGUGUAGAGGUGAAAUUCGUAGAUAUCGAGAGGAACACCGGUGGCGAAGGCGGCCACCUGGACGGUAACUGACGCUGAGACGCGAAAGCGUGGGGAGCAAACAGG
rnacentral:rRNA from 1 species